UUUCUACUCCAUCCGUCCGGAAAUACUUAUUUUGAAAAUAGAUAAAAUGAAUGUAUCUAUAACUAAAAUAAGUCUAGAUACAUUCAUUUCUAGGACAAGUAAUUCCGAACGGAGGGAGUAAUAU
rfam:Triticum aestivum genome assembly, contig: Triticum_aestivum_CS42_TGACv1_scaffold_271878_3DS